rnacentral:tmRNA from 1 species
GGGGUCGACAUGGAUUUGACAGCGGGUGAAAUUGAUGAUGUAAGCAUGUAGUGCGUUGAUAUGGUGGCACUAUAAUCCCAAGGUAUCAAACAAUAAUUAACAACAAUGACUACGCAAUGGCUGCGUAAUUAGUUUAUACUAAUUAACGCUUAAUUGUUCAUGUACGAUAGUGCAUGCAACCAUUUGUCUGACUGCAACUGAAGCACAACAGGAGCAGUAUAACAGGCAUCGAAACAAAUAGUGAGGCUCGUGUGUAAGGUUUUUUAGCACACGCUAAGAUUAAAAAACUAAGUAAUUAAUAGGGUGCAUUUUCUCGAUUAGUUGCCUACAAUUAACAAAAUGAUAAACAUGUAGAAAGCGCGUUGAUUGUUCGUUUGGACGAGGGUUCGAACCCCUCCGACUCCACAA